rnacentral:rRNA from 1 species
GAUGAACGCUGGCGGCGUGCCUAAUACAUGCAAGUCGAGCGAACGGACGAGAAGCUUGCUUCUCUGAUGUUAGCGGCGGACGGGUGAGUAACACGUGGAUAACCUACCUAUAAGACUGGGAUAACUUCGGGAAACCGGAGCUAAUACCGGAUGAUAUUUUGAACCGCAUGGUUCAAAAGUGAAAGACGGUCUUGCUGUCACUUAUAGAUGGAUCCGCGCUGCAUUAGCUAGUUGGUAAGGUAACGGCUUACCAAGGCAACGAUGCAUAGCCGACCUGAGAGGGUGAUCGGCCACACUGGAACUGAGACACGGUCCAGACUCCUACGGGAGGCAGCAGUAGGGAAUCUUCCGCAAUGGGCGAAAGCCUGACGGAGCAACGCCGCGUGAGUGAUGAAGGUCUUCGGAUCGUAAAACUCUGUUAUUAGGGAAGAACAUAUGUUUAAGUAACUGUGCACAUCUUGACGGUACCUAAUCAGAAAGCCACGGCUAACUACGUG